rnacentral:rRNA from 1 species
UACGUAGGGGGCUAGCGUUGUCCGGAAUCAUUGGGCGUAAAGAGCGUGUAGGCGGCCCGGUAAGUCCGCUGUGAAAGUCCAGGGCUCAACCCUGGAAGGCCGGUGGAAACUGUCGGGCUAGAGUCCGGAAGAGGCGAGUGGAAUUCCCGGUGUAGCGGUGAAAUGCGCAGAUAUCGGGAGGAACACCAAUGGCGAAGGCAGCUCGCUGGGACGGUACUGACGCUGAGACGCGAAAGCGUGGGGAGCAAACAGG